rnacentral:rRNA from 1 species
CCUACGGGUGGCAGCAGUGAGGAAUAUUGGUCAAUGGACGAGAGUCUGAACCAGCCAAGUCGCGUGAAGGAUGACUGCCCUAUGGGUUUUAAACUUCUUUUAUAAAGGUAUAAAACGAGGCGCUUGUGCCUUUUUGCAUGUACUUUAAGAAUAAGCAUCGGCUAACUCCGUGCCAGCAGCCGCGGUAAUACGGCGGAUCCGAGCGUUAUCCGGAUUUACUGGGUUUAAUGGUAGCGUAGUGGGGUUGUUAAGUCAGUUGUGAAAUUUGGGGGCUCAACCGUAGAACUGCCAUUGAUACUGGUAGACUAGAGUACAGGAGGGGUAGGCGGAAUUCCUGGUGUAGCGGUGAAAUGCGUAGAUAUUAGGAGGAACACCGAUUGCGAAGGCGGCUUACUAGACUGUAACUGACAUUGAGGCACGAAAGCGUGGGUAGCAAACAGGAUUAGAUACCCCAGUAGUC